rnacentral:rRNA from 1 species
UACGUAGGGUGCAAGCGUUAAUCGGAAUUACUGGGCGUAAAGCGUGCGCAGGCGGUCUGUUAAGACCGAUGUGAAAUCCCCGGGCUUAACCUGGGAACUGCAUUGGUGACUGGCGGGCUUGAGUGUGGGCAGAGGGGGGUGGAAUUCCGCGUGUAGCAGUGAAAUGCGUAGAGAUGCGGAGGAACACCGAUGGCGAAGGCAGCCCCCUGGGCUAACACUGACGCUGAGGCACGAAAGCGUGGGGAGCAAACAGG